CUGUCACUGGGCAAGCCUAUAGGCCCCAGCCUGAAUACAUUCAGUUUGCAGCCAGAGCUCGUCUGGGGCACAACAACUUCUAUUUCGGCUUAAAAAUGUUCCAAAAAUGAUCAAAAUUCUCAGUGAAAAAGAUGUAAUUGUGUGGAUUGUGUUGAAUUGUCGUUGCGUUAAUUUUGAUUUAAGGCUGCGCUAAACGAAUAAAUAUUUUUGGAACUGGAAAUAGGCUGGGUGUUGCAGAGCGCGUACACUACAAUAUACUGAAUUAUUAUUUCGUUGCGUCUAAUUGUUGUUAAUAUUCUCUAAUGGUGGCAAAAACACUGGUUAAAUCGUUACGUUUAUGUAAAUUUGUAAAUGCAUUGAUUCGAUUUACACACUUUGUAAACAUAUAUUAAUUUUUUAGCUAUAUUCUACACCAUCUGUUGAUGGGACCCGUGCAGCCUGGCAUCUGGAUUUAAGUCUUCUUUAUAAUAUUUGGUUUCCCUUUCUUUCUGGAGGUUUAAUAAAUAAUUGAAAAAGUAAA